GAGGGCAUGGCUCAGCGGUAGCGCGCGUGCUUAGCAUGCAAGGGGUCCUGGGUUCAACCCCCAGCACCUCCA
rnacentral:tRNA from 1 species